rnacentral:rRNA from 1 species
CCUACGGGAUGCAGCAGUGGGGAAUAUUGCACAAUGGGCGCAAGCCUGAUGCAGCCAUGCCGCGUGUAUGAAGAAGGCCUUCGGGUUGUAAAGUACUUUCAGCGAGGAGGAAGGCAUUGUGGUUAGUAACCACAGUGAUUGACGUUACUCGCAGAAGAAGCACCGGCUAACUCCGUGCCAGCAGCCGCGGUAAUACGGAGGGUGCAAGCGUUAAUCGGAAUUACUGGGCGUAAAGCGCACGCAGGCGGUCUGUCAAGUCGGAUGUGAAAUCCCCGGGCUCAACCUGGGAACUGCAUUCGAAACUGGCAGGCUAGAGUCUUGUAGAGGGGGGUAGAAUUCCAGGUGUAGCGGUGAAAUGCGUAGAGAUCUGGAGGAAUACCGGUGGCGAAGGCGGCCCCCUGGACAAAGACUGACGCUCAGGUGCGAAAGCGUGGGGAGCAAACAGGAUUAGAUACCCUCGUAGUC